CAAAGGCUUGGUCCUGACUUUACUAUCAGCUUUAACCAGAUUUACACAUGCAAGUCUCCGCACCCCUGUGAGGAUGCCCUUAAUCUCCUGCCCGGAGACGAGGAGCCGGCAUCAGGCACGCUAACCAAAGCAGCCCAAGACGCCUUGCUAAGCCACACCCCCAAGGGAACUCAGCAGUGAUAGACAUUAAGCCAUAAGCGAAAGCUUGACUUA
rnacentral:rRNA from 1 species